rnacentral:rRNA from 1 species
CGGACGGGUGAGUAACGCGUGGAUAACCUGCCUUUCACAGGGGGAUAACAGCUGGAAACGGCUGCUAAUACCGCAUGAGCCUCUUUUGUCGCAUGAGGAGAGAGGGAAAGAGAAAUCGGUGAGAGAUGGAUCCGCGUCCGAUUAGCUAGUUGGAGGGGUAACAGCCCACCAAGGCGACGAUCGGUAGCCGACCUGAGAGGGUGGACGGCCACAUUGGGACUGAGACACGGCCCAAACCCCUACGGAAGGCAGCAG